CCUGUAAGGGGUGCUCUUCUGUUGAGCCUAGUAAUGUUGAAUAAUAGUUGUAGAAAGCCGAACAAAUUUGCUGUUGAUCUAUGAUCUUGUGGUCCCUUUGGCAGAGUUCAGUGAUUGUAUUCUUCCUUUUCCUAUUGCUUGCCCAUAUACGGAAGAACUUGGUAUUGCGAUCUCCGUUUUGAAGCCACUGCGUCCUUGAGUGUUGUUUCCAUAGAUCUUCCUCUUGUUUCAGAACAAUGUUGAGUUUUAUUUUGAGAUGCACCUGCUCAUUCAUCUCUUAAGGUGCAAGCU
rnacentral:lncRNA from 1 species